UUGGUUACCAGAGCAGGAAAACAACACUUCGUUUGAAAAGCUAUAUAGCCUGGGUAAAUCAAACCUACUCUUCAAAUCGGCGUAUUAAUUUUCCUUGUUAAUUUAAAAUAAUAGUGAUGAAAGCGAUUCAGGGGAUGAUGAUAAGUGCAUUAAAUGUUAACAACUGACAGUUAUACCAUGUUGACGUCUGGUUUUUCGAAAUACAUCUUAAAGAAGUUGAUCUACUAUGUCGUUGCAGCCAAAUCAACUAAAGCCUGUCUAAUUUUUAGGUUGAUUUUAAUAUCCAACUUUCCUUUUUCAGGUGUGAUAAAUCAAGCUAGAGCUCCCCACGUGUUUAAAUCCAGUAAUAACAUCGGCUUGGGGUGUGCGCACAUCACGCCAGCUGUAGAACGGAGUGGAAGCGAGAUGAGAAUGCAAAGCAGGCACCUCAUGGCUCAGCAUCAGCAUCAGGCUGAGUUGAGAUUUGCGCACCCAUCAAACUUGGGUUGGGACCUCAGCAUGUGAACGGGCUUUGCGGGAGGAGGAUCCACCUAGAAUGUCAGCUCUGAAGAAGGUGUUGCCAAGCAUACUGCAGAAGCAUUGCUGUAUCUUACCAGAUGGGAACGCAGGUGUGAAGAGGUUGCUGAUGAAAUUGAAGAGCAGGGAGAUAUAUUCAG